rnacentral:rRNA from 1 species
UACGGGAGGCAUCAGUGGGGAAUAUUAGACAAUGGGGGGAACCCUGAUCCAGCCAUGCCGCGUGUGUGAAGAAGGCCUUUUGGUUGUAAAGCACUUUAAGCGAGGAGGAGGCUCCUAUAGAUAAUACCUAUAGUGAGUGGACGUUACUCGCAGAAUAAGCACCGGCUAACUCUGUGCCAGCAGCCGCGGUAAUACAGAGGGUGCGAGCGUUAAUCGGAUUUACUGGGCGUAAAGCGUACGUAGGCGGCUUUUUAAGUCGGAUGUGAAAUCCCUGAGCUUAACUUAGGAAUUGCAUUCGAUACUGGGAAGCUAGAGUAUGGGAGAGGAUGGUAGAAUUCCAGGUGUAGCGGUGAAAUGCGUAGAGAUCUGGAGGAAUACCGAUGGCGAAGGCAGCCAUCUGGCCUAAUACUGACGCUGAGGUACGAAAGCAUGGGGAGCAAACAGGAUUAGAUACCCUGGUAGUCCAUGCCGUAAACGAUGUCUACUAGCCGUUGGGGCCUUUGAGGCUUUAGUGGCGCAGCUAACGCGAUAAGUAGACCGCCUGGGGAGUAC